rnacentral:rRNA from 1 species
GUAGGUGGCAAGCGUUGUCCGGAAUUAUUGGGCGUAAAGCGCGCGCAGGCGGUUCUUUAAGUCUGAUGUGAAAGCCCACGGCUCAACCGUGGAGGGUCAUUGGAAACUGGAGAACUUGAGUACAGAAGAGGAAAGCGGAAUUCCACGUGUAGCGGUGAAAUGCGUAGAGAUGUGGAGGAACACCAGUGGCGAAGGCGGCUUUCUGGUCUGUAACUGACGCUGAGGCGCGAAGGCGUGGGGAGCAAACAGGAUUAGAUACCCUGGUAGUCCACGCCGUAAACGAUGAGUGCUAAGUGUUAGGGGGGUUUCCGCCCCCCUUAGUGCUGCAGCUAACGCAUUAAGCACUCCGCCUGGGAGUACGGCCGCAAGGCUG